rnacentral:misc_RNA from 1 species
CGCCCCCAUCAGCAUCGCCGCCGGAAGCAACCGCUCGAAGUUCGGGCCGACCAGCAUGCGCGCGAUGUGCGGGAUCACGAGACCGACCCAACCGAUCACGCCGGAGAUCGCCACCACGCUCGCNNNNNNNNNNNCGAUCACGCGCAGCCGCCCGGAUUCAACGCCGAGCGAUUUGGCCUCCUCAUCGCCGAGCGAGAGCACGUUGAUCUGCCAGCGCAGCAGCACCAGCGGCACCAGGCCGAUCAGCACCGCCGGCAUGACAUUCCAGAGGUCGCCGCCGCGCACGCUGGCAAGG